UGGGGAAUUUUGGACAAUGGGGGAAACCCUGAUCCAGCCAUCCCGCGUGUGCGAUGAAGGCCUUCGGGUUGUAAAGCACUUUUGGCAGGAAAGAAACGUCAUGGGUUAAUACCCCGUGAAACUGACGGUACCUGCAGAAUAAGCACCGGCUAACUACGUGCCAGCAGCCGCGGUAAUACGUAGGGUGCAAGCGUUAAUCGGAAUUACUGGGCGUAAAGCGUGCGCAGGCGGUUCGGAAAGAAAGAUGUGAAAUCCCAGGGCUCAACUUUGGAACUGCAUUUUUAACUACCGGGCUAGGGUGUGUGAGAGGGAGGUGGAAUUCCGCGUGUAGCAGUGAAAUGCGUAGAUAUGCGGAGGAACACCGAUGGCGAAGGCAGCCUCCUGGGAUAACACUGACGCUCAUGCACGAAAGCGUGGGGAGCAAACAGG
rnacentral:rRNA from 1 species